CCUACGGGAGGCAGCAGUGGGGGAUAUUGCACAAUGGGGGGAACCCUGAUGCAGCGACGCCGCGUGGGUGAAGAAGCGCCUCGGCGCGUAAAGCCCUGUCAGCAGGGAAGAAAAUGACGGUACCUGAAGGAGAAGCCCCGGCUAACUACGUGCCAGCAGCCGCGGUAAUACGUAGGGGGCAAGCGUUAUCCGGAUUUACUGGGUGUAACGGGGGCGCAGACGGCGAUGCAAGCCAGGAGUGAAAGCCCGGGGCCCAACCCCGGGACUGCCCUUGGAACUGCGUGGCUGGAGUGCAGGAGGGGCAGGCGGAAUUCCUGGUGUAGCGGUGAAAUGCGUAGAUAUCAGGAGGAACACCGGUGGCGAAGGCGGCCUGCUGGACUGCAACUGACGUUGAGGCCCGAAAGCGUGGGGAGCAAACAGGAUUAGAUACCCUAGUAGUC
rnacentral:rRNA from 1 species